AUGAGUGUUUUAAGUUGGAACUGCCGGGGGCUUGGGAACCCCGAGGCAGUUCGGGAGCUUCGCAGUAUUGUGAAGCUUGAAGGACCCUCCCUUCUUUGUAAUGAAACGAAAAUCAAGGCAAAAAGAGUUGAGGAUUUGAAGUAUACGCUUGGUUUUACAGGCAGUUUUGCUGUUAACAGUGUCGGCCUCACUGGAGGCAUAGGUCUGUUU
rnacentral:rRNA from 1 species